CGAAAUGACCAGCGCUUAGGAACGACGAUACAUGAAUGCACAAGGAAGCCACUUUGAAUGAAUGAAUGAAUGAAUGAAUGACCUCUCAGCACGAAUUCUCCCUCCGUUGUCAACUGUGCAGAUCACAGCCCACUGGAGAACAGAAGAGGGGGACACAGGGGUCGGGGAGCAGGAGGAGGAAGCCGCCAGCAACAACCUACAGUUCCAGAAAUUCUCCCCAGGUUGGCGGGUGCCCAGGCCAUUGGCCAGGCCGGCUAAGUUCAUGGAAAUUCACCUGUGAUGGGUCCAGAACCUUUGGAGAGUUUUGAGCAAAAGAAGUGCCAUGAUCUGACUUAAAGCUUGAAAAGAUCACCUUGGAUGACAUGUUGAGAAAGGACUAUGUGCAAAGCAAGGGCAAAACCAGGGAUUAUGGUUAGAAGGCUUUUGUAAUGAUAUGAGUGAGAGCUGUUGAUAGAUGAGACCAGAGUGGAAACAGUAAAGAUGGUGAGAGGUGGUCAGAUUUAGGACAAAUUUUAAAUUUAAAGCUGACACAAUUUCUCAAAAUUCUGUUUCUACUUAAGAUGUAGAAAACCACAAGAGUAUAUUGUUGCCAUGCUAACAAUGAGAAAAAUCUGGAUAAUCAAUAAAAUUAUGACUUUUCUUAAGCUCAUCGGAGACCUGAGGUCUCAAGGCAACCCAAGAAAUGGAACUCAAAAAAAAGUGACAAGAUUCUCCCAGGAGAAAGGAGAUACACAAGCUGUUUUGCCUUUGGCAAGGCACACAGAGAGGAGGUAGCUGCCAUAGAAGGGAGUGAGAAGAAACAAGCUAAAAUUUUAGCGAAUUCCUAGUAUGUGGCUGAUAUACCCGUAUAGUUUAACUGUGAGCUACAAACACAAGAGGAAUUCUUACUUUCAAGUUCUUCUCCUUGGGCCCCUAACAGGUUUUCACAAAGCUUGAAGGCUUUCAAGAGAAGGGACCAGAGAGAGCACCCCUCAGUGGCCCAGGCAUGUAGAAAAUGUUAAGAUGUCAUUGGAGAACAGGCAAAAAUCACUGUCAACCUUUCUGCCAUACAAUGCAAAGUUUUAGGCUACCGGGGACAAUACAGCACAAACAUUUUGCCCUCAGAGCUCCUGGGAGAGAGGUAGAAAGAAAACCCCUCAAUUUCAGGUCAUUCCCUGUGAUUGGUGGCAGGAAGGUGAGUAGGGGGGACCUUUAUUCUAUAAGCAUGAACAGUCCUUCCUGUAAACUGAAAAAUACCAAGAUUAUGCUAAAAAGAAAGAAUGAGGCUAUGAUUGUGAUGUAGGAAACCAGCGGCAACAAUGCAAAGGCUACUUAUAGGGCAUAAAAAUCACUGCUCUUUUUAGGAUAUCUAAGACUUAAAGGUAAAGACGUGUGAGUAAGUGUGGGCUAGGUAAUGUAAGUAGGAAUAGCCACAGUGACACCAAAGCCACAUCACCUUUUUCUCCGGACUGAAUCACAUCUCAUCAUAUAGUAGAUAGACAGGCCUUAAUAACACUCCAGGAAGAAACAGCAGUGGAGGAAAAAAAAAAAAGCCAUAAAUGAAAUAAA